rnacentral:lncRNA from 1 species
CUUUGUUGCCACCUCCUCUUCUUGGGCAUGGAUCCUUCUUGGGCAUCCCAUCUACUGGUGUGAGGUAUCAUAUCAGCACAUCUCCUCCUUUGUUUGGUUGGCUUGCGAAGAUAAUUGGAUUGGAGUUCAUCCUAGUUUCCUGCGAUGUCUGACGUGCAUACGAAGUAGAGGAUCUGCAUAUCCACUCCUCCAUGAAGGUUUAAUCUAGAUAAAUUGAGAUUUGAUCUCUGGUUCCACUGCUAAUCAGGUA